rnacentral:tRNA from 1 species
UUUCGUAGCUUAAUGGUAAGAGCAUUGGUGCGUGAAGCAAAAGGUCCUGGGUUCGAAUCCCGGCGAGA